rnacentral:rRNA from 1 species
AUUGAACGCUGGCGGCAGGCUUAACACAUGCAAGUCGAGCGGGGUGAUGGUGCUUGCACUAUCACUUAGCGGCGGACGGGUGAGUAAUGCUUAGGAAUCUGCCUAUUAGUGGGGGACAACAUCUCGAAAGGGAUGCUAAUACCGCAUACGUCCUACGGGAGAAAGCAGGGGAUCACUUGUGACCUUGCGCUAAUAGAUGAGCCUAAGUCUGAUUAGCUAGUUGGUGGGGUAAAGGCCUACCAAGGCGACGAUCUGUAGCGGGUCUGAGAGGAUGAUCCGCCACACUGGGACUGAGACACGGCCCAGACUCCUACGGGAGGCAGCAGUGGGGAAUAUUGGACAAUGGGGGGAACCCUGAUCCAGCCAUGCCGCGUGUGUGAAGAAGGCCUUAUGGUUGUAAAGCACUUUAAGCGAGGAGGAGGCUCUUUUGGUUAGUACCCAAGAUGAGUGGACGUUACUCGCAGAAUAAGCACCGGCUAACUCUGUGCCAGCCGCCGCGGUAA